AAACGUCAUGAAUAUGAAAUGCUGUCAGUCGAACGACAUGACGUAACGUCAGCAGGACAUCAUUCAAACAUGGACAGGAGAAAACGUCAAAACAUUAUGAUAUCCUGCUGCGCCACUGAUUUGUGUAAUAAACCUGCAUUACCUAGCACGACGGUUAAAACAACUACAGCAGCAACACCAACGACUAACCCCGCAACUACAACUGACCAUGUGACUUCGACUCACACAUUCAAUGGUUCCACGUGUAACCGUGACCUCAUGUUUGUGCUGGAUGACUCCCACAGCGUGACGGAGACCAACUUUCGGCACGCCCUCUCCUUUCUGUCGGGCCUCGUUCAGCGCGUUGAUAUAGGUCCCAAUCAGGUUAUGACGGGCCUCAUCACAUUCAGCACCACAUAGCACAUUCACUGGUUAUUAAACACGUACGAGACGCAACAGAACGUUACCACCGCCCUGACUCAGGUGCCGUACGAAGGCGGAAGUACGCAC